rnacentral:misc_RNA from 1 species
CCUUAACAAACCUAAAAAAGCCCGUCCCAGAAACAAUCCCAAAUUCCCUCUCCUUCAUUGAAAAUAUAUCAGAUCCUUGGAUUUCCAAGGUGCUCCCUUUAUGCUCCCCAUCUGUGAAAAUCAGAGAAAACACCAUAUACAGGCCCUUCCCAUCAAGCUGAGAAUUUAUGUAGGUCCCUUGAGCCCUACCAAUCUCCCUGGAUUCAAUACUGGGCCCUUCAGUAACUGGGUCAUCAACCACUGCAACCGUCCCAAAUUGUAGGAUGUGAAAGUUGGGCCCACUUUUCCCGGCGACAGUGAUUGCUGAACUGUCGAGGCCGGUAAAGUAGUCAUGCACAUAGACUACAAGGUUAGUUUGCUUUGGUUCUUGUCUAGGGAUGGUGUAGGCAACAUAUAGAAGAAUUAAGCUGGAGACGAAGAAGAGAAAAUUGGUGGACAUGGCUAUUUUUGGUGUUAUGGUUUUCAAGGGUUG